UUUAGGUAAGCAGCAAGAUUUCUAUGGCGGAAGCCUUAGCUAGGAGGAGCAUUUCGAUUGGGAUAGGGAGGUGCCCGAUGGAUUCAUGUGGAGUCAACAAACCAUAUAACUAUUAUAUACAAGGGUCAGUUGAAAUUGAACCAGUUGGAGUACUUUCAUGCAACGAAAGAACCACAACCUUAAUG